rnacentral:rRNA from 1 species
AAAUCCUUGGCUCUAAUACAGUCGGGGGAUGACGGUACCGGAAGAAUAAGCACCGGCUAACUACGUGCCAGCAGCCGCGGUAAUACGUAGGGUGCGAGCGUUAAUCGGAAUUACUGGGCGUAAAGCGUGCGCAGGCGGUUUGUUAAGACCGAUGUGAAAUCCCCGGGCUCAACCUGGGAACUGCAUUGGUGACUGGCAAGCUAGAGUAUGGCAGAGGGGGGUAGAAUUCCACGUGUAGCAGUGAAAUGCGUAGAGAUGUGGAGGAAUACCGAUGGCGAAGGCAGCCCCCUGGGCCAAUACUGACGCUCAUGCACGAAAGCGUGGGGAGCAAACAGGAUUAGAUACCCUGGUAGUCCACGCCCUAAACGAUGUCAACUAGUUGUUGGGGAUUCAUUUCCUUAGUAACGUAGCUAACGCGUGAAGUUGACCGCCUGGGGAGUACGGUCGCAAGAUUAAAACUCAAAGGAAUUGACGGGGACCCGCACAAGCGGUGGAUGAUGUGGAUUAAUUCGAUGC